rnacentral:sRNA from 1 species
AUUCCUUCCCCCAAGGUAUGGAGCUCUGAAAUGGGGAUCUUAUGAAUCAGAAUCAGAUAAGAUCUGAAACUCAGCACAGAGGCUCUGCUCCCCACUCUGAGAGUGAUCUACCAGAGCAAGAAGAGGAGAUUCUGGGAUCUGAUGAUGAUGAGCAGGAAGAUCCUAAUGAUUAUUGUAAAGGAGGUUAUCAUCUUGUGAAAAUUGGAGAUCUAUUCAAUGGGAGAUACCAUGUGAUCCGAAAGUUAGGCUGGGGACACUUUUCAACAGUAUGGUUAUCAUGGGAUAUUCAGGGGAAGAAAUUUGUGGCAAUGAAAGUAGUUAAAAGUGCUGAACAUUACACUGAAACAGCACUAGAUGAAAUCCGGUUGCUGAAGUCAGUUCGCAAUUCAGACCCUAAUGAUCCAAAUAGAGAAAUGGUUGUUCAACUACUAGAUGACUUUAAAAUAUCAGGAGUUAAUGGAACACAUAUCUGCAUGGUAUUUGAAGUUUUGGGGCAUCAUCUGCUCAAGUGGAUCAUCAAAUCCAAUUAUCAGGGGCUUCCACUGCCUUGUGUCAAAAAAAUUAU